GACGAACGCUGGCGGCGUGCUUAACACAUGCAGGUCGAACGGAAAGGCCCUUCGGGGUACUCGAGUGGCGAACGGGUGAGUAACACGUGGGUGAUCUGCCCUGCACUUUGGGAUAAGCCUGGGAAACUGGGUCUAAUACCGAAUAGGACCACGCGCUUCAUGGUGUGUGGUGGAAAGCUUUUGCGGUGUGGGAUGGGCCCGCGGCCUAUCAGCUUGUUGGUGGGGUAAUGGCCUACCAAGGCGACGACGGGUAGCCGGCCUGAGAGGGUGACCGGCCACACUGGGACUGAGAUACGGCCCAGACUCCUACGGGAGGCAGCAGUGGGGAAUAUUGCACAAUGGGCGCAAGCCUUAUGCAGCGACGCCGCGUGAGGGAUGACGGCCUUCGGGUUGUAAACCUCUUUCAAUAGGGACGAAGCGCAAGUGACGGUACCUAUAGAAGAAGCACCGGCCAACUACGUG
rnacentral:rRNA from 1 species